rnacentral:rRNA from 1 species
GGAGCUUGCUCCUCUGACGUUAGCGGCGGACGGGUGAGUAACACGUGGAUAACCUACCUAUAAGACUGGGAUAACUUCGGGAAACCGGAGCUAAUACCGGAUAAUAUAUUGAACCGCAUGGUUCAAUAGUGAAAGACGGUUUUGCUGUCACUUAUAGAUGGAUCCGCGCCGCAUUAGCUAGUUGGUAAGGUAACGGCUUACCAAGGCAACGAUGCGCAGCCGACCUGAGAGGGUGAUCGGCCACACUGGAACUGAGACACGGUCCAGACUCCUACGGGAGGCAGCAGUAGGGAAUCUUCCGCAAUGGGCGAAAGCUUGACGGAGCAACGCCGCGUGAGUGAUGAAGGUCUUCGGAUCGUAAAACUCUGUUAUUAGGGAAGAACAAAUGUGUAAGUAACUAUGCACGUCUUGACGGUACCUAAUCAGAAAGCCACGGCUAACUACGUGCCAGCAGCCGCGGUAAUACGUAGGUGGCAAGCGUUAUCCGGAAUUAUUGGGCGUAAAGCGCGCGUAGGCGGUUUUUUAAGUCUGAUGUGAAAGCCCACGGCUCAACCGUGGAGGGUCAUUGGAAACUGGAAAACUUGAGUGCAGAAGAGGAAAGUGGAAUUCCAUGUGUAGCGGUGAAAUGCGCAGAGAUAUGGAGGAACACCAGUGGCGAAGGCGACUUUCUGGUCUGUAACUGACGCUGAUGUGCGAAAGCGUGGGGAUCAAACAGGAUUAGAUACCCUGGUAGUCCACGCCGUAAACGAUGAGUGCUAAGUGUUAGGGGGUUUCCGCCCCUUAGUGCUGCAGCUAACGCAUUAAGCACUCCGCCUGGGGAGUACGACCGCAAGGUUG